GUAGCAUCCCCGAAUCCGGGUCCCAAAUCGCCGCGGAUCCGGUAUACUAAUUCUAUCACUAUUGCGGAAGAUAUAAACAUAAAUUGUUUAUACAUUACAUUACACACUAUUCCCCAAGGUCGAGUAACCUUUACUUGAAUACAAUACCUUCAAUAUCUUAGAAGAUUUACAAUACUAUUUUCAUCAGAAAAUUUAAUAAAUUUAACUACAACAUAAAGAAACUUUGCACUUUGUCUUUGCCUCUGCCCUUAUUCAAGCCUUCAUCUUAAUCUGAAAAUUUUAUCAUGAUAUAGCAAGGGUGAGCAACAAAUUUGCCCAGCAAGUUUUACAUACAAAGGAGAUAUAUCAUGAUUGAAAAGAAUGGAUAAGCUUUCAAGUUUUCAACAAUAUAAUAAUUGUGAAAUAACAUGAAUCAAUUUUAUUCAACGAUUGAAUGACUGAACCAAUAAUAAUGGAUGUCAACAAUUAACAUGAACAAGUUUAACUGAAACAUAUGGUAAUGAAGGUGAUCAGCCUUUCAUACCUGAUGAACAUAUACAACAUGCACAAUGUGCGAAUCAAUAAUUUAUUGACGUGGUAAAAUCAACAAUGAUUAACCACUAACAUGCUUUGAAUUAACAACUCAAGUUGAGUUAGGAAACUUGCACAAUAAUUAGAAGUUCAAGUUUAGGAACUUGCCUGUACCGUUGAUUACCGCUAAGCAAUCAAUUUAAUCUCUUAUAAAAGACCUAUCAUUAAUAAGAUCGAUCCUCCAAUUAGCAUAAUACAUUUUAUCCCACAACACUAUUACUCAAAUAAUAAAUUAGCUAACAUUUAGCCACAUAAUUAAACAUUAAAUAAUUCUUUAACUCAUUAGUAAUAUUAUUAUCCCUUAAUAAUAUUACUAUCACUUAUCCAUUAUCUUAAACUUUUGCCUAAUAUUCUUUUUAUAGAAUAUUUAUCAUUUACAAAUAUUAUUAAUCAUUUAAUAAUAUUUAAAUCCUUUACUAAUAUUAUUAAUCAUUUAAUAAUAUUGUAAUCACCUUCUAAUAUUAUUAAUCAUGUAAUAAUAUUUUACUUGUUUCAUAAAUAAUAAAGGUCUCACACAUUUUAAGAUGCAAAUACUUUACAUCUUGAAACUUAAACCAUUUAAAUUUCAUUUCAGAAAUAUCUUUUACCUCUACUCGCAAAUUCGGAGUUUAAACAGCUAAUGUAUAGCUUUUAUAGUAAAAAUCAAUUUACUAUAUUAUUUCUUCACUUUAAAUAACUUUUACUUCAGUUUGUCCGUUCAUGAGUCAACACUGACUAUUGCCUCAUAUAUAAACAUUUUAUCUCACUAGCACAUUCGCUUUAUUUUUCAUUUUACGAUUAUUCGCAUUUUUGCUUCGUUACGUAAAUCUCAGCUCAAAAACUUCAUUUUGAGCACCGAAAACCUCAAAAUAUCAUUUUUAUGAUUAAUACAAUAUUUCAAAGGUUUUACAUUCUUUGUUCCACCACAAAAUAAUUUUUAUAGGCAACUAUAUAUAUAUAUAUAUAUAUUUCUCGCUUAAAUAUGUAAUUUAUAUUUAUUACAUAUUUUUAUUGCUUUAUUUAUGCCUGAAAGAAAGUUUCUCGGCAUAAAAUAUUACUUAUAGUCAAAUUUCGCACCAUAAGACUUUAUUAGAUUAUUAUGACUUAUUAUUUCUCUAUCAUAUGCCCAAACACAUAAUAUACUUCAUUGAAUAUCAAUUUCAACAAUUACAUUGAAAAAUAUCAUAAAUCUCUUAUUAAAUCUCCCGUCAAAUAUUAUUAAUUAUGUAAUAAUAUUUUACGCUAAGGUUACUAACCUUUUAAUAACAUUCCAGUCACAUACUACUAAUAAUAUCUCAAUACCAUAUUAUUAGUCACAUAAAAAUAAUUUAUGUCAUUAAUCACUUAAAUAAACAAUUAUUUCAAUUGUUUUCCUUCCCGUAAUUAAUAAACUUGUUUAAACAUUUUAAAAUGUCAUAAACAUCACAACACCUUAAACCCGACCCAAAACUUCAUUACAAACUUGCAUACGCCAUGCUCACGGGUCUCACUUCAUACAUCGCAUUUUUCCUAUUUUUGGACACUUUUGAUUUUUUUUAAAAUUUUUACCCAGCCUCACUAAAACAGCCAUAACUCUCGCGUUUUAAAACAUUUUUGAGCGAUUCUUGAGCCCACGCGAAGAUAACUUCCAGGGCUACAACUUUUGUCUCACGACAUUUUUCCAAAAUCAUAACACAUCAGUCCAGAAAUUUACACAAAGGUGGCUGUUCGGAAUUUGAUUAACAGUUUUGAUACACAUCUCCCGAACGCCAUAACUACCUCAUCCGGAAUCGGAAUUAGUCCGUUCCGGAGUCUAUGGAAAGCUAAAUCAGAGUACUACAACAUACCAAAAGCCCAGAAUUUUUAAAGCACAAAAACUGGACGAAAUUGCCCUCGCUACUGACUGCCCCGAAUCUGCCCAUUUUUGGUUAUAAAAACGGAACUGUUUUCACCAAAUCAGUCACUACCCCAUGUAAACUCAACAUUUUUGAGUACUACCACUUGGGUUAACUACUAAACACAUAUAUCUAACAUCCCUUUUUGACGGAUCGCAAAAAGAAGUCAUAGAUUUAAAACGGUGAAAUUUCAAAGUACUAGGAAAUUUCGGAUUCAAAACUAGAAAAUAAAUUUUCUUUAUUCUUUUGAUUCACCCAAAUCAACAUCAAAAAUGAGUAAAUCCAUACAUAAAUCCAUAGAAAACACAUAGAUCUUAAGGGUUUGAACAUCCAAAUCAAAACCCCCUUUUCAUCAAUUUCAUAAAAUAAAGGAAUAAAGCUUAGAAAGAGAAAAAUUUUUACCUUCUUCUUCUUCUCUUCCAUGGAGGAUUUCUCCUCCUCUUUGACACUCAAGGGCUGCCGCCCUUCUCUUCUUCUCUCCCUCUCCUCAUGGUUCUCCCGAU
rnacentral:lncRNA from 1 species